rnacentral:rRNA from 1 species
ACGAACGCUGGCGGCGUGCCUAAUACAUGCAAGUCGAGCGGACGAAUCGAAAGCUUGCUUUUGAUUCGUUAGCGGCGGACGGGUGAGUAACACGUGGGCAACCUGCCCUGUAGACGGGGAUAACACCGAGAAAUCGGUGCUAAUACCGGAUAACACGAAAUGUCGCAUGACGUUUCGUUGAAAGACGGCGCAAGCUGCCGCUACAGGAUGGGCCCGCGGCGCAUUAGCUAGUUGGUGAGGUAACGGCUCACCAAGGCGACGAUACGUAGCCGACCUGAGAGGGUGAUCGGCCACACUGGGACUGAGACACGGCCCAGACUCCUACGGGAGGCAGCAGUAGGGAAUCUUCCGCAAUGGACGAAAGACUGACGGAGCAACGCCGCGUGAGCGAAGAAGGCCUUCGGGUCGUAAAGCUCUGUUGUUAGGGAAGAACAAGUAACGCAGUAACUGGCGUUACCGUGACGGUACCUAACGAGAAAGCCACGGCUAACUACGUG